rnacentral:lncRNA from 1 species
AGUGAAACCACUGCCUUUAAGUGUUAAAGAGUUUACCAGACCUGAAUUUCAACACCUUUGUGAGGAUUCCACCACACCAGCUCCAGAAUUCCAGACCUCCCCACCCAGGCCACCAAUUAAGCUACAGCCUCUGUGCUCACUCCCCUUUCUUUCCCUGUGCGAUCGCGGUCUCCUGUGUGCACUUGGAACUGACUUCCUCGGAAUUAUUUAGACAAGACAUGCUAUAAAGGAAACGUGAUGAUUCAACCAAAGAAAGCAACCUCACAUAAAUGCCUCCUUGGACACAGACCAAGAUUAACAAGCAAACUUUAUUCUUCACCAACACAAGUCUCUCUAAGUGUAGCUAAGACUUUCUCAGAAAAGAAGGAAAUCUCUUCAAAGAAGAUUGAAAAUAAAGUCUCUUUAGACAUUACUGGAAAGAGAGUAACUUCAAGGAGUACUGAAAAGAAGGAUAUCUUAAAUCUACAGUCUGACCUAUGGUCAUCUUACUUGAAAGAAAGUGCAGGUAAAGGGGGCAAAGAUGCAGUCAUUGCAAAGCAGGAGAAAAUUGAUGACUAUCUCCUUCAAGAUAUUAAUAAGUUGUCAGAAUCACUGGAUGAUGGUGAAGGUGAUACCAAUGAUGAAGACAGUAACCCUAAAAAAGAUACUCGUGCCCCAUUAGAGUUAAUGGCAGAAUUCCUGAGAGCUGAAAUGGGCCGAGACUACCACCUGGCAAAAAAAUUAUGUCAGAUGAUUCUUAUCUAUGAGCCAGAAAAUCUUGAGGCCAAGGAAUUUUCCUUACUUAUUGAAGAAAUGUUGCUGAAAGAGGAAGCUCAGAACCUUGAGGAAAAUGAGGAAGAGAGCGAAGAAGACAGCAGCACUGAGAGUGAGGAAAGCAGUGAGGACAUGAGCGACGAGAGCUCUGAUGAAUGCAAAGAUGGGUCGUGA